UACGUAGGGUGCGAGCGUUGUCCGGAAUUAUUGGGCGUAAAGAGCUCGUAGGCGGUGUGUCGCGUCGGCCGUGAAAACCUGGGGCUUAACUCUGGGCGUGCGGUCGAUACGGGCAUCACUAGAGUUCGGCAGGGGAGACUGGAAUUCCUGGUGUAGCGGUGAAAUGCGCAGAUAUCAGGAGGAACACCGAUGGCGAAGGCAGCCCCCUGGGAUAACACUGACGCUCAUGCACGAAAGCGUGGGGAGCAAACAGG
rnacentral:rRNA from 1 species